GUGUUCUCUUUGGCAGUACGUCUUAUAAAAUCGGAAUGAUACAGAGAAAAUUGGCACGGGCCCUGUGCAAGCAUGACACUCAAAUUGGUGAAGCAUUCCAUAUUUUU
ensembl:snRNA U6 U6 spliceosomal RNA